AGAGAGAGACAUGCGCGCAUAUCAAUAAGCGGAGGAAAAGAAACUAACAAGGAUUCCCUUAGUAACGGCGAGUGAAGCGGGAAGAGCUCAAAUUUGAAAUCUUCAAGGUUUUACCUUGACGAAUUGUAGUUUAAAGAAGUGUUUUUCUGCUGAAGUUUUGGUAAAAGUUCUUUGGAAUAGGACAUCAUAGAGGGUGAGAAUCCCGUAUUUGACCAUUAUUUUCAGCUUUGUGAUACACUUUCAAAGAGUCGGAUUGUUUGGGAAUGCAGUCCAAAAUGGGUGGUAAAUUUCAUCUAAAGCUAAAUAUUGGCGAGAGACCGAUAGCGAGCAAGUACCGUGAGGGAAAGAUGAAAAGAACUUUGAAAAGAGAGUUAAACAGUACGUGAAAUUGUCAAAAGGGAAGCGUUUGACACCAGUGUUGUUUUCUCGAAAAAUCAAUUAAAAAAUGGCUCGAUUUUGUAUUGUUGAGACCUUAAAAGCUCACUGUACAUUUUUCGUGUCUUUUUUAAUGCACUUUUCGUUUAACAAGUCAACAUCAGUUUCUUUUGUUGUAAAAGGGUCAUUGGAAGGUGGCUUUCUUUUCGGAGAAAGUGUUUAUAGCCUUUGGCCUCUGCAAUCGGAAGAGACUGAGGUCUGCAGCGUAGACUCUUCGGGGUUAGAUACAUUUGUGCUAAGUUAUAGCUUUUUAUAGACAACUUGUUGACUAUAAUUAGUCUUGUAGCUUACUCGCUUAUGCUAUUUUACCUACGCUUAGGAUGUUGAGUCGUAGAGCACGCAG
rnacentral:rRNA from 1 species